rnacentral:rRNA from 1 species
UGGGGAAUUUUGCGCAAUGGGGGAAACCCUGACGCAGCAACGCCGCGUGAGUGAUGAAGGCCUUCGGGUCGUAAAGCUCUGUCAGAGGGGAAGAAAUGCAGGGGCGCUAAUAUCGCUUUUGCUUGACGGUACCCUCAAAGGAAGCACCGGCUAACUCCGUGCCAGCAGCCGCGGUAAUACGGAGGGUGCGAGCGUUGUUCGGAAUUAUUGGGCGUAAAGCGCGUGUAGGCGGUUUUCUAAGUCUGAUGUGAAAGCCCCGGGCUCAACCUGGGAAGUGCAUUGGAAACUGGGGAACUUGAAUACGGGAGAGGGCAGUGGAAUUCCUAGUGUAGGAGUGAAAUCCGUAGAUAUUAGGAGGAACACCGGUGGCGAAGGCGGCUGCCUGGACCGAUAUUGACGCUGAGACGCGAAAGCGUGGGGAGCAAACAGGAUUAGAUACCCUGGUAGUCCACGCCGUAAACGAUGAGUACUAGGUGUUGCGGGUAUUGACCCCUGCAGUGCCGC